rnacentral:rRNA from 1 species
GACGAACGCUGGCGGCGUGCUUAACACAUGCAAGUCGAACGGAAAGGCCCUGCUUUUGUGGGGUUCUCGAGUGGCGAACGGGUGAGUAACACGUGAGUAACCUGCCCUUGACUUUGGGAUAACUUCAGGAAACUGGGGCUAAUACCGGAUAGGAGCUCCUGCUGCAUGGGGGGGGUUGGAAAGUUUCGGCGGUUGGGGAUGGACGCGCGGCUUAUCAGCUUGUUGGUUGGGUAGUGGCUUACCAAGGCUUUGACGGGUAGCCGGCCUGGGAGGGUGACCGGCCACAUUGGUACUGAGAUACGGCCCAGACUCCUACGGUAGGCAGCAGUGGGGAAUAUUGCACAAUGGGCGGAAGCCUGAUGCAGCAACGCCGCGUGUGGGAUGACGGCCUUCUGGUUGUAAACCGCUUUCGCCUGUGACGAAGCGUGAGUGACGGUAAUGGGUGAAGAAGCACCGGCUAACUACGUG